rnacentral:misc_RNA from 1 species
UCCGGCUUAUCACCGGCAGUCGCCUUAGAGUGCCCAACUAAAUGAUGGCAACUAAGGCCGAGGGUUGCGCUCGUUGCGGGACUUAACCCAACAUCUCACGACACGAGUUGACGACAGCCAUGCAGCACCUGUGUUCCCGCCAGCCGAACUGAAGAGCUCCAUCUCUGGUGCUCAUACGGGACAUGUCAAAAGUUGGUAAGGUUCUUCGCGUUGCUUCGAAUUGAACCACAUGCUCCACCGCUUGUGCGGGCCCCCGUCAAUUCCUUUGAGUUUUAAUCUUGCGACCGUACUCCCCAGGCGGGAUGCUUAAAGCGUUAGCUGCGCCACUGACGAGCAAGCUCGCCAACGGCUAGCAUCCAUCGUUUAGGGCUAGGACUAC